rnacentral:rRNA from 1 species
CCUACGGGAGGCAGCAGUGAGGAAUAUUGGUCAAUGGGCGGGAGCCUGAACCAGCCAAGUCGCGUGAGGGAAGAAGGUCCUAUGGAUUGUAAACCUCUUUAGGCGGGGAGCAAUGCCGGGCACGCGUGCCCGGAGGGAGAGUACCCGCAGAAUAAGCAUCGGCUAACUCCGUGCCAGCAGCCGCGGUAAUACGGGGGAUGCGAGCGUUAUCCGGAUUUUUUGGGUUUAAGGGGUGCGUAGGCGGAUUUUUAAGUCAGCGGUAAAAUGUCCGGGCUCAACCCGGGCCGGCCGUUGAAACUGGGGAUCUUGAGUGGGCGAGAAGUAGGCGGAAUGCGUGGUGUAGCGGUGAAAUGCAUAGAUAUCACGCAGAACUCCGAUUGCGAAGGCAGCAUACCGGCGCCCGACUGACGCUGAGGCACGAAAGCGUGGGGAUCGAACAGGAUUAGAUACCCCUGUAGUC